AGUGAGGCAUUCUGAAAUUUUACUGAAGCUCUAAAACUUAACAGCUAUGGAAAUGGGAAAGAGCCGAGGUCAGAAUGAGAAACACAUCCCCACAGGAUUUCUGACCAUCAGUAACAUGAAUUAGCUGGUGUGCACUCUGCUCUGUAACCCUGGAAUCUCCUUUCUACUCGGAGGGAACCAGAUGUACAGCAUGAAGAAGUAUGCCCUUUGGAAAUGUAAAUGAAUACAGUUAAGAGGCUACACCGCCCUUUAAAGGAGUUCUUCUGAUCUCUUAGGAGCUUUACAUUUUGAAGAACAUGGAUGGAUGAGAAACUUGAUGUGGAUUAGAGAAGGACUCCUUCUGUCACCCAGGCUGAGGUGCAAUGGCCUGAUCACAGUUCACUGCAGCCUUGAAUUCUUAGACUCAAGCUACUCAUCCACCUCAGCCUCCCAAGUAGCUGGGACUACAGGCUCACACCACCUCACCUGGGUACUUUCUCUCUUUUAAAAAUUUUAUUUGUUAUCUUUUUCAAUUUUAAUGAAAAUUUUAUACAUAUAUAUGUAACCCAUCAGUUAAUAUACUUUGCUUGUAUAUGUUAUAUAAAAGGUCACUUCCUCUUGAAUUUGCAAAAUAGUUGUUUGCUUAGCACGAAUGCCAACAAUAUUUUUUUAAAUUUAAAGAUAGCCUACUCUCAUAUAGAGCAGAUUUUUUUAAUAUAUAAAAAUAAUUCCAAAUUUUAUUUUAUUUUCUGUUGCAAAGGCAAAUAAUC
rnacentral:lncRNA from 1 species